rnacentral:rRNA from 1 species
CCUGGCGGCGUGCUUCCACAUGUCAAGUCGAACGGAUCACUCCAGACUUGCUGGGGUUGUGAGUGGCGAACGGGUACACGUGAGCAACCUGCCCUCCUCUCUGGGAUAAGCCUUGGAAACGGGGUCUAAUACCGGAUAUUCACUUCCUGCUGCAUUGUGGGUGGUGGAAAGCUUUUGCGGUGGGGGAUAGGCUCGCGGCCUAUCAGCUUGUUGGUGGGGUGAUGGCCUACCAAUGCGAUGACGGGUAGCCGGCCUGAGAGGGCGACCGGCCACACUGGGACUGAGACACGGCCCAGACUCCUACGGGAGUGCAGCAGUGGGGAAUAUUGCACAAUGGGCGAAAGCCUGAUGCAGCGACGCCGCGUGCGGGAUUGACGGCCUUCGGGUUGUAAAACCGCUUUCGGCAGGGAAGAAGCCGCGAGGUGACGGUACCUUGCAGAAGAAGCGCCCGUGCUAACUACGUGCCAAGCAGCCGCGGGUAAUACGUAAGGCGCAACGCGUUGUCCCGGAAUUAUAUGGGCCGGUAAAAGAGCUCAUAAUGCUGGUUCGGUC